rnacentral:rRNA from 1 species
GACGAACGCUGGCGGCGUGCCUAAUACAUGCAAGUCGAGCGGACUUCAUCCUUCGGGGUGAGGUUAGCGGCGGACGGGUGAGUAACACGUAGGCAACCUGCCCUCGAGACUGGGAUAACCUCCGGAAACGGAUGCUAAUACCAGAUACGCGGUCUUCCCUCCUGGGGAGAUCGGGAAAGACGGAGCAAUCUGUUGCUCGGGGAUGGGCCUGCGGCGCAUUAGCUAGUUGGUGAGGUAACGGCUCGCCAAGGCGACGAUGCGUAGCCGACCUGAGAGGGUGAUCGGCCACACUGGGACUGAGACACGGCCCAGACUCCUACGGGAGGCAGCAGUAGGGAAUCUUCCGCAAUGGACGAAAGUCUGACGGAGCAACGCCGCGUGAGUGAGGAAGGCCUUCGGGUCGUAAAGCUCUGUUGCCAGGGAAGAACGCUUGGGAGAGUAACUGCUCCCAAGGGACGGACCUGAGAAGAAAGCCCCGCA